rnacentral:misc_RNA from 1 species
AAAGUCGUAACAAGGUUUCCGUAGGUGAACCUGCGGAAGGAUCAUUAUUGAAUAAAUUUGGUUGGGUUGUUGCUGGCUCUUCGGAGCAUGUGCACGCUCACUCCAUUUUUAACCACCUGUGCACCUUGUGUAGAUCUGAACAACUCUCGGGGAAACUCGGUCAGAGGAUUGCUGUGUGUAAAAGCCAGCUUUCCUUGGGUUCAGAUCUAUGUCUCUAUAUACACCAUAAGAAUGUAUUGGAAUGUAAUUUUAGGCUUAUAGCCUUUAAAAUCAAAUACAACUUUCAACAACGGAUCUCUUGGCUCUC